GAGAGGCUUUGCUCCAAGCAAAUAUCCUGAAUUUUUCUUGUGCUUAGCAGAGUAGCAAAUGUCAUCUCAGCAUAAAAUUCGACUUAUUCAAAUUAUCGCAUGCAACUCUGCAUGCAGACUGCGUGUGGGUGGUUGAACGAAAGAAAAGGAACAAUGGACAGCGGGCAGCUGACACACGCCUGCGGCAGGGGGUAGGCAAACGCAAAGUUACCUGCGCACUAAACACAACUACAACGCAGCAUGCUAGCUAGUUCAAGUGUGUUGGCUGGCUGCAUAAAAAGAGCAAGAGAAGGGAACCGUAAUUAGUUUGCACAGCAGCCGAAAGACAACAGGAGAAAGCAGCGCUGACCUUCAGGGCUGCAAUAUACACACACACACUCGCCCACAGUUACAGCUACUGAGAUAGAUAUGUGCAUGCGGACAAAGCGCAUCAAAGGCUGCGCAAAAAUAAAAACAACAACGCACCAAAUAAAAGCGAAUAAAAACCUGUUCAAUACACACACACACACUCAUGCAGUAUAAUUCUUGAAAAUCAGAGCCGCUCCAAUUCUGUGCUACAGUGUUUUUGUUGUGUAUAACAGCGGCGUCCAUAUAACAGCAAUUGUAAAAUUGUUAUAUGCCUGCUGCUGUUUUUUUUUUUUUUUUGACCAAUAAAUCAAUUGUUUAACUUACACAGCACGUCACGACACGAAAUUGCUUUACAGUUAUUUUGCGUUUAGUUUUUCAGUUAAUGCAUUUGCUUGCCUCGCCAGC